AUCGAUACACCCUACACUUAUGCAUUUUCAAUUCUAUUAAUUCUUUAUUCUUCCCAAUUUAUAUAUAUAUAUAGUAUAAAGCAGUUGAAACGAAGAAAUAUUAAUUCAAGUUGCACACUGUUCCAGCUCCAUCGACUGUUGGAAACGCGUGGAAGAAGGACCUAAGAACAGGCAGCAUCCAAAAAGAUCGACGUUCUCCGAGAAUCGUUGGGAGCGGUUAUAUAAGACGAUUACGCAUGCCUUGCUCGCGAUAUCCAACGUUCGUACGGAAGCGUGCGCAUGCGCACGUACGCGCGUGAUAUUUAUUGGGUACCACCGCGUUGCUAUCCCUUGGCUCCCCAACGUAACGUACGGUACCGGUCGGUUGAUAUCGAUUCCGCGCGGGGAGAUAACGAUCGUUCCGUUCCUUUUCGGAUCCCGCUCUCCGGAAACUGUGGGCUGGGUGGUAGUAGGCAGGAUGGUUAUUACUUACUGCCAAGCCGUUGCUCUUGUACGCCCAAGACUUAUGGGACACCGAGUCUAUUCGCCGGGUGUAUAUACACUUGCCAUUAACGCGGCUUACUUAACCGAGUUGGAGCGAAGGUAGGGAAUUUUCUUUUCUCUCUCGUGCUGAAAAUACGGCGGAUUGUCAUUAUUCGUCGGCUGUCGUUCGAUUCCGCGGUUCGAUAUCGUAAUCGUGGGAAGGGAAUAGUUUAGGUAGUUGGAUAAGUGGCUUCUAAUUUUCGUCGGAGAGAAUGGUAUCCGAAGGGGGGAUCACGUCGAGUGCUUCCUUUCGAAAGAAGAUUCGUAUCGGCCGUUUCUCUCGAAGCUCCACCGCGGUCGGUGGUGGUGGCGGUUAUUAGAGGCACAGGUUUAAAGAGGAAACUGGAGGAAUUCCGUGCACUCCCGUGUUGGGAGAGCGUGUCUCGCGCGGACCCACUGUUCUGUCGCUCGCUUCGAAUCCGGCCAACGCCCGUUUCGCAUGCCGACGCUCUCUUCCUCCUCUCUCUCUCCCCUUUUUCCCCCAAGCAGAGGAUUUCUUAGGGAAAUGGCCGCGUAGCUGCCCUAAAUGGCAGCGAGUCGUUAACGCGGUGUCUCCGCGCUUUUCUCCCCUUGACAGUUGCCCGCCAUUGUUGGCGCCUACUUGCCAGCUUCCAUUCCAGUGCCUCCUCCACCUAUCACGAGUCUCACCCUCGCCUUAAUAAGGCGUCUCAGAUCUCGAGCUUACGGAUCUCUCUCUCUCUCUCAAACAGAUCUUUCUCUCUAAGAGAUAUCGCGUGAUCGAAUUGAUAAAUUGGCGGAGAGAUUCUCCUUCUCGGAUCUUGGUUGGUACUUGGAUUCUUGAAUAUAAUCAAAUCGUUUCCCUCCCUCGUUAAAAAAGAGUCGGGAGAGAGAAAUUUAUUAUUGAAAAUUCCUCCCCUCCUCUUCCUUUGCCUCGGUUUUUACCGACCGAUAUAAAAAUCCUUGGAGAGAAGGUACAACCCCGUUAACAAUCGAGGAUCUUUACGACUUCCCUUUUUUUCCAGGCUGGUAAAGGAGUUUGAUUCACGCACACAUGCACGGCAGUGGACACGGUACGUAGCACACUUUGAUAUCGCGUUGCGUCGGUGUGACACAAAUUUUUCGAAGAGAUUCGUCUCUCCCUCCGGGGGGAUCAAAUUGGUGGUAUACGUACGAAAGUAAAUUUAGGAUCCGCCUGGGUGGUUCCAAUUUAAUCAAUCCCGGCAAACCUCUCCCCGACCAAACGCGUAUGUCGUUGUGCGUUGAUUUCAAUUUCAAUGAAAGACAUCGGGCAUAAAUUCUUCCCGUCCCGGAUGGAGCAAGCGGCUGCUCAUCCAUAUUAACCUUAACGAAACGUCUCUUCCGGGUGUGGUCCCGGGAAUGAAAUCCAAACGGAUUUUUUGCCCGAUCCGGGCUGAACUCGAGAAGGAAUCCGUUCUUGGCCGUUCUCGUGGUUUAAUCUCAAUCUUUUCCCUUUUUUAAAGGGAACUUUUUCCCUUCUUUUUAGCAAAGAAUCGCGACAAAGAUUGGGAUACGUUUUCACCAGCGAUCGAUCUUGCUGCGGCGAUAGAUUCGAUGGAAAAGUCGAAGAGAGGGAAAACGUAACAAUCUCCUCCAGUUUCGUGGAUUAAAACCUGUUCCAAAUCGUUUCGAACCUGUUAAAUAUCGAAAACAUUGUCGAGACGGACACUCGGUUCCCCGAGCGAACGGUAUUUGAUCAAUCCCGCGGAGAGGUCGAGGAUUCGAUCGAGGAGUCUUGCUGCCGGAGUUUCGAAGAGGUAACUCGAAGCGAGGCCUCCUUUCUCGACGGAAGGACGAAACGAUAAUCGCGGGAACAGUUCGGAGGCACCGGUUUAAUGCGCGCUCCGCCGAUCUUUAGAGCCUUUAAUAAGGGGUUUUCGUAAAUAACGAGGCCUGCCCCGAGUAAACGUGUCUAUUUGCGCGAUUCGACGCCACGAAGCCUCUCGCCGAUUCCCCGUAUAAUCCACAAAAGCCACAGGAAGUUGUAAAUUAAUUUUCGAAAUUGAUCGUGAACAUUGUAACAUCGUUUCUACGAUAUAUACUUUACCCGGAUACUUUUCUUCCUUCUCUUCUCUCCUUUACGCUGUUAACGACGAAUCAAUUUUUUACCCUCUCCAUAGUCGAUAUAAUUUUUAUCUCCCGAAGCGACCGGUUUCCCGCGAUAAAACAAUCGCGAUCGGUUAAAAGGCAUAUACGGCCGUACAGAGAUGGACGCGAUAAAAGUUUAUUAGUUUGUUCAGCGUCGAUUGUUCCAUCGUUGAGGAGGAAAUUUCGAAAUGGAACCAGAUAGAGAAGAACGAAUCCACCUGCUCGAACGCAUUACGAUUCGAAUUCGGAGUUUCGAUCUCUCAGGUUUGUGGGGCGCGUGGGCGAGGAUCCCCGCGGUUCGCCGCGGCGCGUCGACCCCUCGCUUCCAAGAAGUGGAAACGUCCGCUCGUAUCUCACGCAGGUGGAGGGGGAGAUUUCGUGCAUUUCGGCCCUCUCUACGAAUAAUGUAUACCCUCGUUGGUCAUCGGCCAGCCCCACGACCCCUGGGGUACAGGCGAUACCGCGAUUAGUAAUCGCGUGUUGCCGCUCUCCUCCUUCGUGCCUACCCUCUCCCUCCUUCCUUCCUUCCUUCUGUCGCGCCAAUAUAUAUAUAUGUGGCCUGCCCUCCUCUGACAAAUUGCGCCAAAAUGCCCGAUGCUAAAUUUCCAUUACUCCACCCGCGCGUACACGGCUCGUGUUCUCCAGAUUUGGCGAUUCUCGUCAAAUUUUACCUUUUUAAUUCUUCUAGAUUCUCCGUUAAAGGGAGAAAGAAGGGGAUGGAUUAGUUUACGAAGUAAUUUGGAAUGCAUUCCUAAAAAUGUGGACGUCUCGAAUUCUUUAACCCUCCCGUUAAGAUGGGAUCGCGAUACAACAAUUUGUUUUCGUAUUACACGUUUCCUCGAAUCUGGUCCGAAUAUUUUUAAUAGUCGUCCGGAGUUUGGAAUUAUUUAAAAUACUGGAGGAGUCUGUAGCUGGGGUCUUCGUAAUUCGUUUAAUUAACGACGCGAUGUUUUCCAUCAUCGAUGGUGAUAAGCCACGAGUACCGUUAACGACCUCUCUCGGACGCCGUUCUCGGAAAUUUUUACGAACGAGGAAUCGUUCCUUCGAUAAUCAACAAUUUCUUUUACCCAAUUUUUCCAAGGGACGAUACGAGCGAUGGACAUAGGAGCGCGAUAUGAUCGUUGGAAGAAUGCUAGAAUGCUGUCUCGAGUGGGACAGGCGCACUCGAGAGCGUCCUCGGAGAGCUAUAAAUCGCGGCGUGGGGGUAAGCCACACAGGUCGUGGGCAACAGUAGGCAGGGUAAUUGGCGAAAUGUGGUAAUCCCUAAUUACAGCAGAUACCUACAGCGCCUAAUUCCGUAACGUAUUACGCCGAAUCUCGGCGCGCAGGUGGCCGGAAAUUAACGGCGUAUCCGCGUAAUUGCCCCUCCAAAAACUGCACUUACGAGGGACCCCCGUAAAUUCUUUUCUCCCGCCUUUCUCACCAUCGACACGCUCUUACGAUUAAUCCGCGAAUGAAAUUAUUAAUCCCCCCAGUAAUACUCAUUUCUCAUCCCUGGAGGAGAGAAGAUCCACCCUAUCUCCUAUAUUUCUUUAUCUAUCCUUGCCUCGAGUUGUUAUCUUCUAAUUCCUCGAUUUAAACGGGAAAAGAAGAUAUUAAAAGGAAGAAAAGCGCCAGAGAUAAUUUCCCUGUCGACCACCUGUCCCGGUCUCCUUUGAACGAUAGAGAGCAAGAUUCGACGGCUCGUUGAUUUAUGCGACCGCUCCUGCCACGGCAAGUUGGAAUCGACGCACCACCACCCCGCCCGUUAUGUAUUCCGUAUAAAUUGAAAACCGCAAUAAAUCGGUUUACAGGAGCGGAUAAAGGAGCUCGUAAACGGGGAUAAAAUACACGGACGUCAGUGGUCUGUUUAACAAAUCCGACCGGCGACCGGGCGACAAGCGACGUCGUUACGAUGAACAUCGAUAUAGUCCGUGUUUCUCCAAUUUUACGUUCGCUAUUUACGGGAGGGAGCACGGGAAGAGAGAGAGAGAGAGAAAGAUUCUCUAACUGGCCCACGCAGGACCCUUCCCUCCAAUAAUAAAGAUGUCUCUACACGAUUUUAUACGACUCUAUCCACGCACACGGAUUUUACGAUCACGUUUACCUGUCAUCGUCGCGCCAUCGUCUCGUCUCGUACACGGAUCGCACCCGGCUUUAACACCUCGUAAAAUUAUGACCGAUCGCGAGCCUAAUGGUGGCAGGAUACCGCGAGUUACGAGAUACACAAUUGCGAAUCGUCGUAACAACGGCGUCCUUUGAUCCAAUACGGAAUAUUGCGCCGCGUGGGAAUUCCUUUACCGCCUUGCGAAACACGAAUUGUAAUAAACGCGAAUUCGGAAUUCGAUGGAGCACGUAACGUAUAUGAUAUAUAUAUGUACGUUUUAAUGGGCGAUGUUCUGUACUUUCCAAUGGUUUAUCUGGAGCCGUUGUACGCGCUACUACUAUCGUUACGCGGGGAAAGGUGUCGAUUAAAAAAAGGGGAUCCAUCAAAACAGGAUUGGAAGCCACCGGCGACGCCUGUCCGCCGAUUCCUCUCUUUGGACGCGAGCGUUAGCACGCGGCCGGUAAAUGCCGGGGAUCGAAAUGGCGGGCGAGAAACAUCGUACGAGAUAAGCUCACGUAGGUGAGAAAAAGACCCGUCCGAUAAGUGGCUGUCCUCCAGAGACAGAGAGGGAGAGAGAGAGAGAGAGAAUGAGAAGGGAGGAAGAGAAGCCUUCCAUUCCAGCCGGAUGGUAUAAAUCAGCGCUACGUUAAGUGGUUCUCGUAUUAAUUAAGAUAGCCACGUCGCGUACCACGCGACAAUUCGUGAUCCUUGGGACGAGCGGCCAAAGAGAACGAAAAGGAGGAGAAGAAGAAGAAGAAGAAGAAGAAGAAGGCUCACUUGAGCUCUUCCCGUAAAUCGAAACUGAACGAGGUUAGAGAGGACGUCUUCUCCUUUCAUCCGUCACAAUUAUGGAAAUUACAACCUAGCCCUCGGUUUCGCACUUGUGCGUUUUCCGUCCACGAUAAAUCACGUAAAUGCGAAAUACUUAAUACUGGCCAGUCCACAGGAACACCCUUUGUCUCUGGGGAUAAUAAGUUGAAACGGUGUUGCGGUGCAUCGAACCCCGGCAGCCGCUUAUAAUUUUCGUUCCACACCGCCAACAGCGCCAACCACUCUGCCGCUAUCGCUGCCUCCUUGGCCAGCCGGGGUCAUUACCGCGCGUAGGAAUACCUAUCCCUUAUUAUCUUUUCUUUAUCUGCCCGCUCACGUAUCAAUUUACUUAUCCGCGAAUCACUUUAUCGGCCGAUCUAUCACUGCAGGCUCCUGCGACGCGGCGGCGGCGGCCAACUAUGUAAUAGGAAAAGUAACCGCCGCGUGUGCCGCGUGUAAUUCAGCUGCAACCGCGAAAAGUCACGCACCACUGCCGCGGCAAUUUUUUCCAGAGAGACGUCGGGACGAGGAUCCGAUGGAUGCGCGAAAUUGCUACGCCAAGCGUGGAAUAUUUCUGUUACAUGUGUUUACGACGUUUCGAUCGAUGAUGAAUAAAAGUUUGACAAAAUUCGAUCGAUCGAAAGAUGAAUCUAGAUACGUCGUUCGGAUGGAUCGAGAUAUUUAAGAUCUUAAGUAAGAGAUUAUUCUGAAAGAAUAACGUAACAUCGUUUAAAUUCUGUUAUAAAGUUUGGAAACGUUUCGUUUCGAGAAUAAUAAUCUACGCACAGAAAGGAAUAAUUUUUAAUUCUAUUUAAUUGGACUGUUUCGAUUUCGUUGACAUAAUGGGGUCGGUUAGAACAAAUCACCCAUCUAUAUAACAUAAUUUAUUUCUAUUCCUUAAUAAAUUUAGAAGAAAAUUCUGAGAAACAUAUUUUAAAAUCGAGAUCGUCGAGAAUGGAUAUUCUUACGAAACAAUGUCCAACAGUGCAAUGUCUAAAUUACCGUCGGAAUAUCCUGUCACAGACAACAACGCGAAUGAAGAAAUCUCCGCCUUCUUCUCAGCCGGCCGCGUGAGAACGUCGUCGUCUCCUCGACACGUGCGAUCGUAGGCAGCAACAGCAGCAGCUCGUCGUCAUCGUCGUCCUGCCGCCGUCGCGAGCCCCGAGUGAGGCGUGAGGUCGUUGCGGAACAUGCAUACGAACGACAACGAUUCCUCAACGCUUGUCGCGUCCCCCGUGACAGCUGGACCGUUGGGGGAGGGGGGAGGUAAAAGCGCGUUUUCCAUCGAGCGAACCGCAACCGAGACGAGGAAAAGGAAAGGGCACGAAUGCGAAACGGUGGCCGAGCCGUAUGCGCGCGACGCUUCGCAAAUUGUAUUACCGCCGUCGGUGUAUAAAGAUACACCGCAAACGCGAUUGUCCUCGGCUCGUGGUGUAGCAGUGGGAGCGAAACGUGCGAUGGCGAAACGAGUGAAGCGCGUUAAACGCACAGAGAGAGAGAGAGAGAGAAAGAGAGAGUUAUAUAUAUAGACUAUACAUAUAUAACCGCACGUGUAGGCGAGUCUGUACUUUUUUUUUAUUAUCUCCUCGCGUAUAAUAGGAGAAAAUUAUUUGAGCUUGUAUGGAUAGUUUAAUUUUCUUUUAUUGUGAUAUAUAUUAUUUGUAACUUUGAAAUGAAAUAUCGAUAUACACUUAAAAAUGAAAAGAACAAAAUUACUAAGAUGAUAAUUUAAUAAAAUAAGAAUAAAAAUAAGAAUUAAAGAAAUAUUGUAAGAAAAUAUACGAACCGAACAAAGAUCAAACGAACAAUGAAGAUAGCUUAAAAUCAAUCCAUGAAUAUUACAAACAAUUCGAAAUAACACAAGCGUCGUUGAGUGAUUUUGUAAUUUUAUAAUCAUUCCAAGAUUUUCUUUCUCUUAAAUUUUAUCCGUCGUUCCAUCAUUGUUCCGUCGAUAUCCUUUUCAUCCAUCGUCGAAACGUAUUCUUUAUCUUGGAACUGAUGUAAAAUUGCGAAUCACUGUGUUUCAUCGGUGUAGCAUCACUGGAGGAGGAUACGUAACAAGUGUACUGACUCGAUUUAAAAAGUCACGUUGCGUGUGCCACGUAGUUUCGAACAGUGUGCGUGACCAUUUUUCUACGCUCUUCUACUCUUCUCCCUUUGGUCGUUGCUUACGAGUCUAUCUUCUCCUCUCCCUUACGUAUACAUCACCGUUUCGCUCGUCUCCACCGAGAUAACGACAGAUGUUUAUGCAUAAUGCGUCGUCCCUCCUCGGUGACCAAGGUUCAAGUAAUUUCCGCGUUGUUAGAGUUGUCGCGGUUCCUCUGACCUCGCUCGUACUCCACGUUGCUUCGAGGCAACGCGUUAACACUUUUCAAUCUCACCACCAGACUAAUAAUCCACGAUUGUAUUUUUCCUUUCGAGAUGGUAAAAGCGUAACAGUUUUCAAUUCCAUCACAAGAUUAAUUCGAUUGUAUUUUCUUUUGAGAGAGUAAAAACGUAAUACUUUUCAA